rnacentral:ncRNA from 1 species
AAAUAAAUUUUUAUAGUUUAAAUAAUUUAUUUAUUAUUUAUUUUACAUAUAAAUUUUAGUAAUAAAUUUUUUAUUUAAAAAAUAAAUUAUUUUAAAAUUGUAGUAAUUUAUAUUAAAAAAUUAAGUAAUUAAGAUUUAGUAAUAUAAUAAUUUUGAUAACAAAUUUUGUGCCAGCAGUUGCGGUUAUACAAAAAUUAAAAUAAAUUUUUUUAGUAAUUAAUAAAUAUAUAAAAAUUUAAUUAAAAAUUUAAAUUAUUAGGUAAAAUUUUAAUUUAAUAAAAAAUUAUUUAAUAAAUAUGAUUUAAUAAAUUUUAUAAAAAACUAGGAUUAGAUACCCUAUUAUAAAAAUUUAAAUAAAUAAAUACUAAAAUAGUAAAUAAUUAUUUAUUGAAACUUAAAUAAUUUGGCGGUAUUUUAGUUCAUUUAGAGGAAUCUGUUUAAUAAUUGAUAAUCCACGAUUAAAUUUACUUAAUUUAAAAUUUUAUAUAUCGUUGUUAAAAAAAUAUUUUUUAAUAAAAAUAAUAUUUUAAAAUUUAAAUAAAAAAUUAAAUCAGAUCAAGAUGUAGGUUAUAAUUAAGAAUAUAAUGGAUUACAAUAAAAUAAUUUAAAUGAAUAUUAAUUUGUAAGAAUUAGUUGAAAGUGGAUUUAAAUGUAAUUUUAUUUAAUUAAAUAAAAUGAUUUAUAAUUAAAAUAUGUACAUAUUGCCCGUCGCUUUCAUAUAAUAAAUUGAAAUAAGUCGUAACAAAGUAGAGGUACUGGAAAGUGUUUCUAGAAAGAU